UACGAAGGGGGCUAGCGUUGCUCGGAAUUACUGGGCGUAAAGCGUGCGCAGGCGGCUUUGCAAAGACAGAUGUGAAAUCCCCGGGCUUAACCUGGGAACUGCAUUGGUGACUGGCAGGCUAGAGUAUGGCAGAGGGGGGUAGAAUUCCACGGUGUAGCAGUGAAAUGCGUAGAGAUGGUGGAGGAAUACCGAUGGCGAAGGCAGCCCCCCUGGGCCAAUACGUGACGCU
rnacentral:rRNA from 1 species